UACAGGGGGGGCAAGCGUUGUUCGGAAUUACUGGGCGUAAAGGGCCAGUAGGCGGCCAACUAAGUCCGACGUGAAAUCCCCAGGCUUAACCUGGGAACUGCGUCGGAUACUGGAUGGCUUGAAUUCGGGAGAGGGAUGCAGAAUUCCAGGUGUAGCGGUGAAAUGCGUAGAUAUCUGGAGGAAUACCGGUGGCGAAGGCGGGUCUCUGGGCCGAAAUUGACGCUGAGGAGCGAAAGCGUGGGGAGCAAACAGG
rnacentral:rRNA from 1 species